UGGGGAAUAUUGGACAAUGGGGGAAACCCUGAUCCAGCCAUGCCGCGUGAGUGAUGAAGGCCCUAGGGUUGUAAAGCUCUUUUACCCGGGAAGAUAAUGACUGUACCGGGAGAAUAAGCUCCGGCUAACUCCGUGCCAGCAGCCGCGGUAAUACGGAGGAUGCAAGCGUUAUCCGGAAUAAUUGGGCGUAAAGCGUUCGUAGGUGGUUUUGUAAGUCUGCUGUUAAAGCGUGUAGCUCAAUUACAUAUAGGCAGUGGAAACUACAAGACUUGAGUGCGUUCGGGGCAGAGGGAAUUCCUAGUGUAGCGGUGAAAUGCGUAGAGAUUAGGAAGAACACCGGUGGCGAAAGCGCUCUGCUAGGCCGCAACUGACACUGAGGGACGAAAGCUAGGGGAGCGAAUGGGAUUAGAUACCCGUGUAGUCC
rnacentral:rRNA from 1 species